UACGAAGGGUGCAAACGUUGCUCGGAAUUACUGGGCGUAAAGGGCUCGUAGGCGGCCAACUAAGUCAGACGUGAAAUCCCUCGGCUUAACCGGGGAACUGCGUCUGAUACUGGAUGGCUUGAAUCCGGGAGAGGGAUGCGGAAUUCCAGGUGUAGCGGUGAAAUGCGUAGAUAUCUGGAGGAACACCGGUGGCGAAGGCGGCAUCCUGGACCGGCAUUGACGCUGAGGAGCGAAAGCCAGGGGAGCAAACGGG
rnacentral:rRNA from 1 species